AAGGUUCUAGCUUAAUAAAAGCGUUUGAGUUGCAUUUAGAAGAUGCAGGUUAGUAUCCUGCGAAUCUUA
rnacentral:tRNA from 1 species